rnacentral:rRNA from 1 species
AACGAAUGCUGGCGGCAGGCCUAACACAUGCAAGUCGAACGCCCGUAGCAAUACGGGAGUGGCAGACGGGUGAGUAACGCGUGGGAACGUGCCCUUCGGUUCGGAAUAACUCAGGGAAACUUGAGCUAAUACCGGAUACGUCCGUAAGGAGAAAGAUUUAUCGCCGAAGGAUCGGCCCGCGUCGGAUUAGCUAGUUGGUGAGGUAACGGCCCACCAAGGCGACGAUCCGUAGCUGGUCUGAGAGGAUGAUCAGCCACACUGGGACUGAGACACGGCCCAGACUCCUACGGGAGGCGGCAGUGGGGAAUAUUGGACAAUGGGCGAAAGCCUGAUCCAGCCAUGCCGCGUGAGUGAAGAAGGCCUUAGGGUUGUAAAGCUCUUUCAGCGGGAAGAUAAUGACGGUACCCGCAGAAGAAGCCCCGGCUAACUUCGUGCCAGCCGCCGCCGUAAU